UUCACCUACGGGACGCAGCAGUAGGGAAUUUUCGGCAAUGGGGGGAACCCUGACCGAGCAACGCCGCGUGAAGGAAGAAGUAAUUCGUUCUGUAAACUUCUGUUAUAAAGGAAGAAAGACGGAUGGAGGAAAUGACAUCCGAGUGACGGUACUUUAUGAGAAAGCCACGGCUAACUACGUGCCAGCAGCCGCGGUAAUACGUAGGUGGCAAGCGUUAUCCGGAAUUAUUGGGCGUCAAGAGGGAGCAGGUGGCCGCAA
rnacentral:rRNA from 1 species